rnacentral:rRNA from 1 species
GAUGAACGCUGGCGGCGUGCCUAAUACAUGCAAGUCGAGCGAACGGACGAGAAGCUUGCUUCUCUGAUGUUAGCGGCGGACGGGUGAGUAACACGUGGAUAACCUACCUAUAAGACUGGGAUAACUUCGGGAAACCGGAGCUAAUACCGGAUAAUAUUUUGAACCGCAUGAUUCAAAAGUGAAAGACGGUCUUGCUAUCACUUAUAGAUGGAUCCGCGCUGCAUUAGCUAGUUGGUAAGGUAACGGCUUACCAAGGCAACGAUGCAUAGCCGACCUGAGAGGGUGAUCGGCCACACUGGAACUGAGACACGGUCCAGACUCCUACGGGAGGCAGCAGUAGGGAAUCUUCCGCAAUGGGCGAAAGCCUGACGGAGCAACGCCGCGUGAGUGAUGAAGGUCUUCGGAUCGUAAAACUCUGUUAUUAGGGAAGAACAUAUGUGUAAGUAACUGUGCACAUCUUGACGGUACCUAAUCAGAAAGCCACGGCUAACUACGUG